rnacentral:rRNA from 1 species
GGGGAAUAUUGCACAAUGGGCGCAAGCCUGAUGCAGCCAUGCCGCGUGUAUGAAGAAGGCCUUCGGGUUGUAAAGUACUUUCAGCAGUGAGGAAGGUGGGUAUGUUAAUAGCAUACUCAUUUGACGUUAGCUGCAGAAGAAGCACCGGCUAACUCCGUGCCAGCAGCCGCGGUAAUACGGAGGGUGCGAGCGUUAAUCGGAAUUACUGGGCGUAAAAGCGCAUGCAGGUGGUUUGUUAAGUCAGAUGUGAAAGCCCGGGGCUCAACCUCGGAAUUGCAUUUGAAACUGGCAAACUAGAGUACUGUAGAGGGGGUAGAAUUUCAGGUGUAGCGGUGAAAAUGCGUAGAGAUCUGAAGGAAUACCGGUGGCGAAGGCGGCCCCCUGGACAGAUACUGACACUCAGAUGCGAAAGCGUGGGGAGCAAACAGGAUUAGAUACCCUGGUAG